UGAACUUAAAGGAGUCUCAUUAUGAUCAUUUACAAGCAUAACAGGACCCCUUUAAACUAGUAGUUCACCCCAAAAAUGAUUUAGUCAUCAUUUAGUCAUGUUAUUCCAAACUGGUAGGACUUUCUUUUUUCUGAGGAACACAAAAGAAGGUAUUUUAAGGAAUGUCUCUGUCCAUAUAGGUCAAUGAUGUGAUGCUUAAAUUUUCUGUCCGACUGCAUUUUUUUUUUUUUUUUUUUUCAGUUAAAAUGUGGUUUAAAUGCAUAAAAAGAUACCAUAUAUAUGUAAUACCUCUCCCAUGCAUGUACUCACUUUAACUUCUCAAAAAACAUUAGUUAUUUGUAAUUUUCUGUUAUUUAAAGUAUCAAAAUAUCAUGUGGUGCGACUGUCCGGCCAUAACUUCUGUUUUGGAAAUGUCUUUGAAAUUACUCUAAAUUUAUUCAAAUUCAUUUUCUGCACUAUUUGGCAUGAUUUAUAACAUGUUUUGUAAUCCUGUACAAAAUUGCAAAGCCUUUGUAUUUGUAUUUCCAUCAUAAUAUACAAACAAACUUUAUCCGAUGAUGUCUGUUAUAUGAAAUCAUGUGGUGCGACCAUCAAAAAACUACCAUUUUGGGACUUUCACGUUGAAAUCCAUUCAAAGACAGGGCGUUGCAUCAUGUACCAAUUUGUGAAGGACCCAUGGAAGCAGCGAGCAGAUGCCACUGCAAAGUAAAACCGCUGACCAUAGGCAGCGUGUUAAUUCUGACCCUGCAGCAAGAAUGCAAAAAGUUACACCUUGCUAGAAGAAGAGUGAAAUAUUACUGCAAUUUAAAAUAUCUGUUUUCUAUGUGAAUAUAUAGUAAAAUGAAAUUUAUUCCUGUGAUCAAAGCUGAGUUUUCAGCAUCAUUACUCCAGUCUUCAGGGUCACAUGAUCCUUCAGAAAUCAUUCUAAUAUGAUGAUAUGCUGCUCAAGAAACAUUUAUGAUUAUUAUCAGUGUUCAUAUUUUUGUGGAAAUUGUGAUAUUUUAUUUGUCAGGAUUCUUUGAUUAAUAGAAAGUUCAAAAGAACAGCAUUUAUUUGAAAUAGAAUCUUUUGUAAAAUUAUAAAUGUUUUUACUGUCACUUUUGAUCAAUUUAGGCCUAAUGUGUCCUUGAUGAAUUAAAGUAUUAAUUGAUUUUUUCUAACUCAACUUAAAUAAAAUGGUGCACGUAUGUUUGCAAUGUGAUUUUUUUUUUUAAUAUAAAAAAAAUGUUUAUAAAAUUUUUGUUUAUGAAAAUUCUGUGAAAUUUUAAUAAAAUCUGGUUUAAAUCUA